rnacentral:lncRNA from 1 species
UUCGGCAGAGUUUCCUCUAUUUCUAAGGACACCCACGACAUGCAAUUCAUAUAGUAUAUAUAUCGCAAAGAACUAGCACCGGUGUAAAGCACAAGGCUACAAUACCAUAACCGAGAACAUCCUCGGUAACUUUAGGCGAUAGCGUUAGUCUUAAGGGGAAAUUAGCUAAGCCAUACAGACCAAGAGGGUAUCUCUCCAAUUCAAGAUGAACCACCACAGGUAGUAAAGUACAACUAUACUAGGUUCUCAAAACACGGUCCUAAAGGACAAUAGGUGUGAGUUCCGUGAAGUGAAAACGGUGAAGAUGCUACUCCCAAGACUCCCAUGCAUGUCGUCCUCAGGAUUUACCUAAAACAAAUAAGCAACAAGGAUGAGUACAAAGACUCAGCAAGUACAUCCAUGAAUAGUAAGCAUUACAUAUGUCAAGAUACCAAAUCUCUAUUAAGCACCAUACACUCAUCAGCAAUCAACACGUGUAUUCAUGACUUACGUGCCUACAUGCUCAUCUCAUUUCAUUGCGUAUACCGGUAUCGCUCGAGUCGACGCCCGUCGACAUCCACUCACUCCAACUUGUGGAGGUUGCCUCCACAGUAGGUCGCAACCCAACAAUGGAGGUCUCAAUGUGCCUACCCAAGGUAGGGAACUCUUUCUUUCACGAUCAUCAUGUAUGCAAAUAUGCAAAUGCAAGCAAAGAACUUGAAUCAACAUGUCUUUGUCAUCGUCAUCUCCAUCACAAUAAACAUCAUAGACAUGGGCGAAUAUCAAGAUACAAAAGAAGUGCAGAGGAUAUGCAACGUCGUUAUCCUGUCAUGAACUUGCCUCAACCGCGGGGCACAACUUGUGGGUUAAAGGAUCCUGAACCAGAAGUACCAACACCUGUAAACAGGCAUAUAUCACAACCAAUACAAAAACAUGGACUUAACUUCUAAGCAUAUAUAAUUCAGCUUCGCUCCUACGCAUAAGACCCAGUGCAUAUCAAUCAACAUUGAUGAAAUCUGAGAAUAUAUACUUGUUCCUCUACCCAAGUCCAUACAUUAAAAUUCUGUCCAACAUAGUACAGCCCACCUUGAUAACUUCAUAGGUUUUAAUAUACCAAACAAAAUAUAAUAAAUGAUAUGUGUUUAAUCAUCUACAGAACAGCAUCUACAAAUAUCAUGUUAUAACUUUAUUUUAAUUCCACAUUUAACAGGUCCUAAUCUCCCAAAUGAAAAUACUGUACGCAGAAAACUGUAUUUCUGGACAGCAAACCAAAUAGACGGCUGCUCUCAAACCGUACAUCCAAACGAGGCAAUUAAGUACUCCACGGAAACCUUAGAACAUGCUUUACAAAUCAUAUGUAGAGCCCAACUCAAAAUUCUAAGCAUAACUAUCCCGUUUUUCACCUAGAAGCUGGCUAUCCAGAUCUGACAGUUCAGUUCUUGUGUAGUUUAUGUGCAGUAUUAACCGAACCAAGUUCAGUUUACAAGGAGAGAUACCCAACGCUCCAGAUUUUACAUGGAAGCAAUCAACACCUCGCAAAAAUAUAGAUGGGCUAUCAUCCCCAAUUGAUUUGGUUAAUCAAAGGAACUAACAAAGAGAAGGUCCAGCCUGGGUGUCAAUACCAAAUAGCUAAAAGCAUGGAGAUCACCAAUGAAUUUGCAAAUUGGUUCAGGAAUCCCUUUCCAAAUCCCGAAUCUAAUUCUAAACUAUCAACUGCUACCCAAAUCCCUAAUUAUGACCUAGGAGGCACCAUAGAAAAGGAGAACUGGGACGUACUGCUAGCGACAUGACGCCCAGCAGCCACCCCUGCUCAGCAACGACCACGGAGAGGAGAUGCGUCGGGGAGAGCAGCAACCUCGCAGCUCACGGCGGCGGCAACCACCACCAGCAGCAGCGACGGCAGCAGCCUCUGUUGGGAAGACCAGAGGAAGGCUUUGGUGAGGGGUAACAGGAGAGAAACAGGAUUUGGGCGCAGCGUACAGCGGCGCAAGGAGCGACCGAUGGCUACGCCAAGUCUGACUGGGCCUUGAGCCCAUAUAGGAUUUUCUUUCCUCUCGUUUUGGAAGGCUUAAAGAGCUAAAAUCUGCUAUUUAGUCAAAAGCACCACAUAGGCCAACUGGUAUUCAGCCUACUACUGAGAGGUCCAAGGUUCAAAUGCCAACACGCCUCUUCCAUUUAUUUCCCAUAGUCUCUCUCUCUCUCUCUNNNNNNNNNNNNNNNNNNNNNNNNNNNNNNNNNNNNNNNNNNNNNNNNNNNNNNNNNNNNNNNNNNNNNNNNNNNNNNNNNNNNNNNNNNNNNNNNNNNNNNNNNNNNNNNNNNNNNNNNNNNNNNNNNNNNNNNNNNNNNNNNNNNNNNNNNNNNNNNNNNNNNNNNNNNNNNCCUUUUCCUAUUUUAUAUCAUAGUCUACAAAUAUCGACUUUACCUUAUUCAUCUAUAUAUUUAAGCAUAUUGGCACAAUCAAUUAGCAAAAGAAAUCUGGGGCAUUACAGAUAGUUAAUGUGUUCAGUUGGCUAGAAUAGAUGUUUCAGUUGGCCAGGAUACAUUUUUUCAGUUUUGGCCAACAUGCAUGUUUAGUUGGCUAGAAAACAUGUUCUUAUUGCACAUAUACUACAUGUUUUCUAAAGUGUCCACUCACAAAUAUCCAGUGCAUGUGGGGUACAAUGCAUGUUUUAGUCAUGUUUUAAUUGGCCAGAGAACUUGUCUUAGUUGGCUUGUUUAACACAUCCAGGCGGUAGAAGCUUGCUUGGGAUGCAUCAUAUUCAGUAAAGUUGGUCUCAAACCAUGUUUAAUGUGCAACUAGGCAGCUGUGCAACAAAACCUAAAUGACUUGUGUUUAGUUGCACAACCCAGGAAAUAGUAGGCUUCCACCCAUGGUUAGUUGCAUAGUAAUUCGUGGUAGUUGUUUUCAGUUGCAAUAUGUCAUUCAUGGGGGGGAGGGGGUGGAGGGUGGUGUGAUGUGCCAGAUUCACCUCUUUUUUGAAGCAGCUUCUCCAUGGAUUUGUGCUAGAUCCAUGGAGAAGAGGGUUUACAUAUGCCUACAUAUAUGCAGUAGAAGAAAGUGGGAAGUGAAGAGGGGUAGAGGGGCAAAGUGGAUUCAUGGUAGUUGUUUUCAUCUAUAUAUUUAAGCAUAUUGGCAAAAUCAAUUAGCAAAAGAAAUCUGGGGCAUUACAUUAUCACCCCCUUAAGCAGAAUUCGACCUCGAAUUCUUCACCACAUUACUACUCAGAAAGCGGGCAUAACUGAUAACUAAGAAAUGGAAUGAAAACCAGACACCACGUACCGGUCUCGAACAAUUCCGGAUACUUUUCCCGCAUGCGUGACUCAAGCUCCCAAGUCGCCUCACGCUCGGAUUGUUGCGACCAGAGAACCUUCACAUACUUGAGCGUCUUAUUCCUCAACACUCUCUCAGACUUCUUCCAAUAUCCUCACAGGGCGAACCUCAAAGGUAAGAUCUUGCUCAAUUGUAAUUGGCUCCACAGUCAAUUGUCGUUCGGGAUCUCGGAAGUACUUACGUAGCAUGGAUACAUGGAAUACGUUAUGCACACCUUUCAUUGACUCAGGCAACUCAAGACGAUAGGCUAGUUUCCCUACUCGUGCCACUAUUAAGAAGGGUCCAAUGUACCGUGGGCUAAGCUUUCCUUUGAUAUUGAACCUGAUAACACCCUUGGUUGGUGAGACUCUCAGAAGUACCUCUUCUCCUUCCUGAAACUCCACAUUGCGCCUCUUGGGGUCGGCAUAGCUCUUUUGCCUACUCUGGGCUGCUAGCAUAUGGUGUCUAAUUUCAGCUAUUCUGUCUGUAGUUCGUUGAACCCAAUCUGGUCCCAGCACUGCCUUCUCGCCCACUGCAUUCCAACAUACUAGAGACCUACACUUUCUUCCAUACAAGGCCUCAUAAGGUGCCAUUCGAAUGCUAGCUUGAUAACUAUUAUUGUAAGCAAACUCCACAAGUGGUAGAUGAUCCUCCCAGCUCCCUUGCCACAAUAGGAUACAACAUCGCAACAUAUCUUCUAAAGUUUGGAUGGUACGCUCUGACUGACCAUCUGUUUGGGGAUGAAAUGCCGUGCUAAUCCUCAACUGUGUACCCAUUGCACUCUGCCAGCUCUCCCAGAACCUUGAUACAAACUUGGCAUCUCUGUCAGAAGUAAUAGUUUUUGGAACUCCGUGCAAUCUUACUAUCUCACGCACAUAUACCGGUGCCAAGUCACUUGCUGAGUUUGUGGUACGGAUAGGAAUAAAAUGAGCCACUUUGGUAAGUCGGUCCACCACCACCCAAAUUGCAUCCUUUCCCCUUCGGGUGCGAGGUAGGCCAACAACAAAAUCCAUGGCGACAUCAUCCCAUGGCCACUCUGGAACCUCUAAGGACUGCAACAAACCCGCGGGUCUCUUAUGCUCAGCCUUCACGAGCUGACAGACCCCACAAGAAGCCACAUACUUUGCCACGUCAACUUUCAUCCUUUUCCACCAAUAAGUCUUCAAGUCUUGGUACAUCUUUGUCUCUCCAGGAUGAACUGUGUAUGGGGUACGAUGUGCUUCUCUCAGAAUAUCCUCCUUAACAUGGGACUUUUGUGGCACACAAAGGCGGCCGUGAAACCGAACCGAUCCAGUCCCAUCUAGAGUGAAAUCUCCGGUUUUACCUUCUUGGAUGCGCUCCCGCACCUGCAACAACAACCGGUCAUUCUGUUGUGCUUCCCUCACUCUGUCUGGGAUAGCUGAUUGAAGGAUGAAUUGUGUCUCCUCAUGUGCUACACCGGCAAAACAAUAUGAGAUGCUCAUCCGCUCAAAAUCAGCAAUGUGGCAACCUAAAGUGGGAGGGACAAUCUUGCGGCUAAGAGCAUCCGCAACCACAUUUGCUUUGCCAGGGUGGUACUGGAUUGAGAGGUCAUAGUCCUUUAUCAAUUCUAACCAUCGUCUUUGCCGUAAGUUUAGCUCCUUUUGAGUGAAGAUAUAUUUGAGACUCUUAUGAUCAGUAAAAAUAUCACAAGAUUCUCCGUAAAGAUAAGGCCUCCAUAUCUUGAGUGCAAAGACCACAGCUGCAAGCUCUAGAUCAUGUGUAGGGUAGUUCUGCUCAUGCUUUUUCAGUUGCCUAGAAGCAUAGGAAAUUACCUUGCCAUCUUGCAUGAGAACGCACCCAAGACCAAUCCAAGAAGCAUCAGAGUACACUGUGAAGCGUUUCCCAGGUUCAGGUUGAGUGAGAACAGGCGCGGUUACCAAUCUAUUCUUUAGCAUUGAGAAACUAUUCUCACAUUCAGCAUCCCACCAAAAUUUCACAUCCUUUUGUGUUAGCUUGGUCCUUGGCUUGGCGAUAAUAGAGAAAUCUUUCACAAACCUCCGAUAGUAACCAGCUAAACCCAAGAAACUUCUUACUUCUUUGACAUUAGAUGGUCUUGGCCACUCUACAACUGUAGAAACUUUACUAGGAUCAACUGAGAUUCCUUCUUGGUUGAUAACGUGUCCUAGAAAAGCCACUUCAGAAAGCCAAAAUUCACAUUUCUUUAGCCUUGCAUAAAACUUAUUCUUCCUCAGGGUUUCAAGAACAAGCCUCAAGUGGCGCUCAUGAUCUUCCUCUGUCUUUGAAUAGAUAAGAAUGUCGUCGAUGAAAACAACCACAAAGUCAUCAAGGAACAUAUGCAGCAUGCUGUUCAUCAUCUCCAUGAAGAUGGCAGGGGCAUUUGUUAGUCCAAAGGACAUAACUUUGAAUUCAUAGUGCCCAUACCUAGUGGAGAAAGCAGUCUUUUCAAUAUCUUGUUCACGCACACGAAUUUGAUUAUAGCCAGACUGCAGAUCAAUCUUGGAGAACACCUUAGCUCUCUUUAGUUGAUCAAACAAAUCUUGAAUGCAAGGUAAAGGAUACUUAUUCUUGAUGGUCACGGCAUUAAGGGCACGAUAGUCCACACACAUACGCCAACUACCAUCCUUCUUAAGUAUGAACAACACAGGUGCUCCCCAGGGUGACACACUACGCCGAAUCAACCCUUUGGAUAACAUAUCAUCCAACUGUUUCUUUAAUUCUUCUCGAAGUGGGCGUGCCAAUCGAUAUGGGGACAUGGAGAUAGGUCGGGUGCCAGGAAUAACAUCAAUGCGGAAGUCAACAUCCCUCUCAGGUGGCAUACAGGCAACUCAUCAGGGAAAACAUCUACAUAAUCACAUACCACUGGGAUAGCUUCAACUGAUAACACAACAUUUGGGGUCUCGGCAAGGGCCCAUAGUAAGCCGGUCUUGACCGCUCGUUGGCCAGGGAACAAGCUAGCUAGGACAAGUAGAGAGUGUAGAGGAGCAUCUCCCUGAAAAAUCAACUCCUCGCCAGAUGGGGCCUGAAGUGAGAUGGUCCUCCAAAAGCAUGAUAUCACGGCAUGAUAUCGAUGUAGCCAAUCCAUGCCAAGAAUGACAUCGAAAGGCUUUAGUGGAAUAACCAUAAGAUUGGCUAUAAAAUCCUCAUCAUCUAUAGAUAUCGCACACCCGGGACAAACUACGGAUGAAGAGAUUGGACCACCUGGAGAACUAACAACCACUGACUGAGAAAUUUGUUGCCUAGAUAAGUUGGCCUUAUUUGCAAAUUCCGACGAUACAAACGAAUAAGUAGCUCCAGAAUCAAAAAGGACAAGUGCAUCAUGUGAGUCAACUGGAAGUAUACCUGUCAUGACAUCCGAUCGUCCCAAAGAAGCACUAGUGGGCAUGACAUAAACUCCAGGCUGUGGUGGAACAGAGGAAGACCCAACACCCUGUUGUGACGGUGCAGGUAGCUGAAGUGGAACUGUCGAUGCAGGAAAAUGGGAUGAAGCCAUCGGAACAGCCUGCCAAACGUAGCCCGGAGGUGGCACGCCAGCUGGUGGAAGUUGGGGAGUAGUAGUGUCAGCUGCUAACACAUGCAUAGAUCCCCGAGAUGAUGCAGGAGUAGUGCCAACAGGCGUCGGCUCCCACUUGAUAAUGCUGGCGGGGUUUUGACGACAUACCAGUCCCUUAUGACCCUCACGAUUGCAAUGGUGGCAUUUCCCAGUCCAGGAACACUUAGAAGCACAGAAGCACAGUGCCCUUCACCACACUUGAAACAAAUCAUGCCUUGCCCUGGCACCGGGCGAAAAGAUGGAGCUGAUGAAGAAGAACGGGGCACCGAAGAAUACUGAGACCUUGACUGCUUGAACUUUGUUGUUUGUUGCGGACGGUAAUUUCCUUUGGACUUCGUGAAAGGAGGUCGAGGAGUAGACCCACUUCCACCGCGGUAACUCACCUUUGAGUCACCACCUGUGCCCCCAGAACCUCCAGCACGAUUCUCCUGGGCUUCUGUGAGGCGGACCUCCAACUCCAUCCCUCUAGCCUGCCUAACCAUUGUUAGGUAAUCUGUAGGGGGGUUUGCUCCCAUCACUUCUCUGUACUUUGAAUUCAGCCCUCUAAAGAAUGCCUUAGCCUUCUCCGCCUCAUUACACUUCACCCGAUCCACAAAGAGUACCAUCUUACUAAAUUCUGCCUCAUACUCAUCCACAGUCAACUUCCCUUGCUUAAGGUAGUUCAACUUCACCGACAUUUCCUCCUUGAAUGAGUCUGGAUAAUACUUUGCGGUGAAUUGUUGCACAAAAAACUCCCAGGUGGGUUGCCCAUAGAUAGGAAUAUGAGCAGCACGGACUCCUGUCCACCAAUCAUCAGCAAGAUUCUUAAGGUUGAAGCGCACAAAUUGGGCUCUCUUUUGCGAAGUCAACUCCAUAGCAUCCAUAUAUUUCUCCAUGGUAUUCAACCAUGACGCUGCAUCCAUUGGCGUCCCAGUUCCAUCAAAGCAAUCAACUUUCAAACCUAUCCAGUCUUUUAAGAUCAUCCCUGGAUCAUUGUGCCCACCACUGUUAGCAGAUUCUCUUGCAAGUUCUUCUCCAUGAUGGCUAUGCUCACUUUCCGCAUGAGGUUCCUCUUCCUGAUUGUUGCGUCCUCCACGACUACGACCACGAGGACCACGACCACGACCUCUACCCCUUGGCAUAGCUAUAAGUAACAUAAUUUAUCAUCAACCAAAAGUCAUUAUUAUAUGCAAACAAGUAUGUCAACAUGAAGAGAAAACAUAAACUUAAGCGUAAUGCAAUGCAUGACCCGACCCAUCCUAUUGUGCAUCAGUGUGUCAAUUUGGUGUUCAUCCAAUAGUCAGAAUCUCAAUCAAUCCUAAAUUCAAAACUAAGUUAGGCUCUUAUCCCAAAUAGAUACACCAGGACCCCUAAAGCCCGUUCUGAUACCAACUGUAACACCCCAACCGACACAGCGCUUGGAAUAUUACCACAUAACACCUUCGAAAUGAAAACAUGCCCUCAAAAGAAUUUCGGCAGAGUUUCCUCUAUUUCUAAGGACAUCCACGACAUGCAAUUCAUAUAGUAUAUAUAUCGCAAAGAACUAGCACCGGUGUAAAGCACAAGGCUACAAUACCAUAACCGAGAACAUCCUCGGUAACUUUAGGCGAUAGCGUUAGUCUUAAGGGGAAAUUAGCUAAGCCAUACAGACCAAGAGGGUAUCUCUCCAAUUCAAGAUGAACCACCACAGGUAGUAAAGUACAACUAUACUAGGUUCUCAAAACACGGUCCUAAAGGACAAUAGGUGUGAGUUCCGUGAAGUGAAAACGGUGAAGAUGCUACUCCCAAGACUUCCAUGCAUGUCGUCCUCAGGAUUUACCUAAAACAAAUAAGCAACAAGGAUGAGUACAAAGACUCAGCAAGUACAUACAUGAAUAAUAAGCAUUACACAUGUCAAGAUACCAAAUCUCUAUUAAGCACCAUACACUCAUCAGCAAUCAACACUUGUAUUCAUGCCCUACGUGCCUACAUGCUCAUCUCAUUUCAUUGCGUAUACCGGUAUCGCUUGAGUCGACGCCCGUCGACAUCCACUCACUCCAACUUGUGGAGGUUGCCUCCACAGUAGGUCGCAACCCAACAAUGGAGGUCUCAAUGUGCCUACCCAAGGUAGGGAACUCUUUCUUUCACGAUCAUCAUGUAUGCAAAUAUGCAAAUGCAAGCAAAGAACUUGAAUCAACAUGUCUUUGUCAUCGUCAUCUCCAUCACAAUAAACAUCAUAGACAUGGGCGAAUAUUAAGAUACAAAAGAAGUGCAGAGGAUAUGCAACGUCGUUAUCCUGUCAUGAACUUGCCUCAACCGCGGGGCACAACUUGUGGGUUAAAGGAUCCUGAACCAGAAGUACCAACACCUGUAAGCAGGCAUAUAUCACAACCAAUACAAAAACAUGGACUUAACUUCUAAGCAUAUAUAAUUCAGCUUCGCUCCUACGCAUAAGACCCCAGUGCAUAUCAAUCAACAUUGAUGAAAUCUGAGAAUAUAUACUUGUUCCUCUACCCAAGUCCAUACAUUAAAAUUCUGUCCAACAUAGACAGCCCACCUUGAUAACUUCAUAGGUUUUAAUAUACCAAACAAAAUAUAAUAAAUGAUAUGUGUUUAAUCAUCUACAGAACAGCAUCUACAAAUAUCAUGUUAUAACUUUAUUUUAAUUCCACAUUUAACAGGUCCUAAUCUCCCAAAUGAAAAUACUGUACGCAGAAAACUGUAUUUCUGGACAGCAAACCAAAUAGACGGCUGCUCUCAAACCGUACAUCCAAACGAGGCAAUUAAGUACUCCACGGAAACCUUAGAACAUGCUUUACAAAUCAUAUGUAGAGCCCAACUCAAAAUUCUAAGCAUAACUAUCCCGUUUUUCACCUAGAAGCUGGCUGUCCAGAUCUGACAGUUCAGUUCUUGUGUAGUUUAUGUGCAGUAUUAACCGAACCAAGUUCAGUUUACAAGGAGAGAUACCCAACGCUCCAGAUUUUACAUGGAAGCAAUCAACACCUCGCAAAAAUAUAGAUGGACUAUCAUCCCCAAUUGAUUUGGUUAAUCAAAGGAACUAACAAAGAGAAGGUCCAGCCUGGGUGUCAAUACCAAAUAGCUAAAAGCAUGGAGAUCACCAAUGAAUUUGCAAAUUGGUUCAGGAAUCCCUUUCCAAAUCCCGAAUCUAAUUCUAAACUAUCAACUGCUACCCAAAUCCCUAAUUAUGACCUAGGAGGCACCAUAGAAAAGGAGAACUGGGACGUACUGCUAGCGACACGACGCCCAGCAGCCACCCCUGCUCGGCAACGACCACGGAGAGGAGAUGCGUCGGGGAGAGCAGCAACCUCGCGGCUCACGGCGGCGGCAACCACCACCAGCAGCAGCGACGGCAGCAACCUCUGUUGGGAAGACCAGAGGAAGGCUUUGGUGAGGGGUAACAGGAGAGAAACAGGAUUUGGGCGCAGCGUACAGCGGCGCAAGGAGCGACCAAUGGCUACGCCAAGUCUGACUGGGCCUUGAGCCCAUAUAGGAUUUUCUUUCCUCUCGUUUUGGAAAGCUUAAAGAGCUAAAAUCUGCUAUUUAGUCAAAAGCACCACAUAGGCCAACUGGUAUUCAGCCUACUACUGAGAGGUCCAAGGUUCAAAUGCCAACACGCCUCUUCCAUUUAUUUCCCAUAGUCUCUCUCUCUCUCUCUCUCUCUCUCUCUCUCUCAUUUUCCUUUUCCUAUUUUAUAUCAUAGUCUACAAAUAUCGACUUUACCUUAUUCAUCUAUAUAUUUAAGCAUAUUGGCACAAUCAAUUAGCAAAAGAAAUCUGGGGCAUUACAGAUAGUUAAUGUGUUCAGUUGGCUAGAAUAGAUGUUUCAGUUGGCCAUGAUACAUUUUUUCAGUUUUGGCCAACAUGCAUGUUUAGUUGGCUAGAAAACAUGUUCUUAUUGCACAUAUACUACAUGUUUUCUAAAGUGUCCACUCACAAAUAUCCAGUGCAUGUGGGGUACAAUGCAUGUUUUAGUCUGUUUUAAUUGGCCAGAGAACUUGUCUUAGUUGGCUUGUUUAACACAUCCAGGCGGUAGAAGCUUGCUUGGCAUGCAUCAUAUUCAGUAAAGUUGGUCUCAAACCAUGUUUAAUGUGCAACUAGGCAGCUGUGCAACAAAACCUAAAUGACUUGUGUUUAGUUGCACAACCCAGGAAAUAGUAGGCUUCCACCCAUGGUUAGUUGCAUAGUAAUUCGUGGUAGUUGUUUUCAGUUGCAAUAUGUCACUCAUGGGGGGAGGGGGUGGAGGGUGGUGUGAUGUGCCAGAUUCACCUCUUUUUUGAAGCAGCUUCUCCAUGGAUUUGUGCUAGAUCCAUGGAGAAGAGGGUCUACAUAUGCCUACAUAUAUGCAGUAGAAGAAAGUGGGAAGUGAAGAGGGGCAGAGGGGGCUUACCUACUUGAUGCUGCUGCCUGGUAUGGCUUUGAACACCCUGCCCUUAGAUCUUCUUUUUUGAAGCAGCUCCUUCUUCUACUUUGGGGCUCCCAUGGCGGCUGUGUAGAAGGAGGAAGAAGGGCCGGGGGCGAUUCUGUUGGGUCUCCUUCUGGCGUGCAGAAAAAGAAGAAGGCAGCGUGGGAGGGGCUGGGGCGAGCGGGCGUGGGGGCGAGCUAGGGACAGCUGGCCACGUGG